rnacentral:rRNA from 1 species
CCUCCGGGGGGCUGCAGUGGGGAAUAUUGGACAAUGGGGGGAACCCUGAUCCAGCCAUGCCGCGUGUGUGAAGAAGGCCCUCGGGUUGUAAAGCACUUUCAGUGAGGAAGAACGCCUGGUGGUUAAUACCCAUCAGGAAAGACAUCACUCACAGAAGAAGCACCGGCUAACCCCGUGCCAGCAGCCGCGGUAAUACGGAGGGUGCGAGCGUUAAUCGGAAUUACUGGGCGUAAAGCGCGCGUAGGUGGCUUGAUAAGCCGGUUGUGAAAGCCCCGGGCUCAACCUGGGAACGGCAUCCGGAACUGUCAAGCUAGAGUGCAGGAGAGGAAGGUAGAAUUCCCGGUGUAGCGGUGAAAUGCGUAGAGAUCGGGAGGAAUACCAGUGGCGAAGGCGGCCUUCUGGACUGACACUGACACUGAGGUGCGAAAGCGUGGGUAGCAAACAGGAUUAGAUACCCUUGUAGUC